rnacentral:rRNA from 1 species
CCCUUAGAUGUUCUGGGCCGCACGCGCGCUACACUGACGAAGUCAGCGAGCAUCUCCUACGCCGAAAGGUGCGGGGAAUCUUGUGAAACUUUGUCGUGCUGGGGAUUGAUUUUUGAAAUUCUUGAUCAUCAACGAGGAAUUCCUAGUAAGCGCAAGUCAGCAGCCUGCGUUGAUUACGUCCCUGCCCUUUGUACACACCGCCCGUCGCUACCACCGAUUGAAUGGUUUAGUGAGAUUUUUGGACUGGAACUCUCUUGUUCAGCAAUGAACGAGAGGGACUCUGGGAAGCUAUUCUAACUGUAUCAUUUAGAGGAAGUAAAAGUCGUAACA